UCCUGCAGCCAUUUCAUCUCAAGAUGUGAUCUUGUCAGAUCUUAUGAGUGAAGUAGGGUUGAGCGUGGUUAGUACUUAGAGAGCAUACUUUAAAAGAAAACCCAGAGCUUGCUGGAA
rnacentral:rRNA from 1 species